rnacentral:rRNA from 1 species
AGAACGACGCUGGCGGCAUGCCUAACACAUGCAAGUCGAACGAGACCUUCGGGUCUAGUGGCGCACGGGUGCGUAACGCGUGGGAAUCUGCCCUUUGCUUCGGAAUAACAGUUAGAAAUGACUGCUAAUACCGGAUGAUGUCUUCGGACCAAAGAUUUAUCGGCAAAGGAUGAGCCCGCGUAGGAUUAGGUAGUUGGUGGGGUAAAGGCCUACCAAGCCGACGAUCCUUAGCUGGUCUGAGAGGAUGAUCAGCCACACUGGGACUGAGACACGGCCCAGACUCCUACGGGAGGCAGCAGUGGGGAAUAUUGGACAAUGGGCGAAAGCCUGAUCCAGCAAUGCCGCGUGAGUGAUGAAGGCCUUCGGGUCGUAAAGCUCUUUUACCAGGGAUGAUAAUGACAGUACCUGGAGAAUAAGCUCCGGCUAACUCCGUG